rnacentral:snoRNA from 1 species
CGGCAAUGACUUGAUUGGUUUAUCCACGCUUCUGAGAGCAAUUGAAGUAAAAGAUAUAAAAUGGUUGAAUUUUUCUUAACAUGAGGUCA